GGAGAGGUGCGAGAGCGGUCGAAUCGGGCGCCCUGCUAAGGCGUUGAACUGGUAACGGUUCCAAGGGUUCGAAUCCCUUCCUCUCCG
rnacentral:tRNA from 1 species